GCUUCACCUCUUGAAUGUUGAGAGUUAUUUGAUAAAGGCUGGUUGAAUGAGUUCCCUAUGAGAGGCUACUUCAUCUGCAAGAAAACAGGCGGCCGCACCAGUUUCCUCAUAUGAAAUUAAAAGGGUCAGUGGUCUAAAAUGAGUCUCUCUGGGGAGAGAGAGG